ACGCUGGCGGCAUGCUUUACACAUGCAAGUCGGACGGCAGCACAGAGAAGCUUGCUUCUUGGGUGGCGAGUGGCGAACGGGUGAGUAAUAUAUCGGAAUGUACCGAGUAAUGGGGGAUAACUAAUCGAAAGAUUAGCUAAUACCGCAUAUUCUCUGAGGAGGAAAGCAGGGGACCUUCGGGCCUUGCGUUAUUCGAGCGGCCGAUAUCUGAUUAGCUAGUUGGUGGGGUAAAGGCCUACCAAGGCGACGAUCAGUAGCGGGUCUGAGAGGAUGAUCCGCCACACUGGGACUGAGACACGGCCCAGACUCCUACGGGAGGCAGCAGUGGGGAAUUUUGGACAAUGGGCGCAAGCCUGAUCCAGCCAUGCCGCGUGUCUGAAGAAGGCCUUCGGGUUGUAAAGGACUUUUGUCAGGGAAGAAAAGGCUGUUGCUAAUAUCGACAGCUGAUGACGGUACCUGAAGAAUAAGCACCGGCUAACUACGUGCCAGCAGCCGCGGUAAUACGUAGGGUGCGAGCGUUAAUCGGAAUUACUGGGCGUAAAGCGAGCGCAGACGGUUACUUAAGCAGGAUGUGAAAUCCCCGGGCUCAACCUGGGAACUGCAUUCUGAACUGGGUGACUAGAGUGUGUCAGAGGGAGGUAGAAUUCCACGUGUAGCAGUGAAAUGCGUAGAGAUGUGGAGGAAUACCGAUGGCGAAGGCAGCCUCCUGGGAUAACACUGACGUUCAUGCUCGAAAGCGUGGGUAGCAAACAGGAUUAGAUACCCUGGUAGUCCACGCCCUAAACGAUGUCAAUUAGCUGUUGGGCAACUUGAUUGCUUAGUAGCGUAGCUAACGCGUGAAAUUGACCGCCUGGGGAGUACGGUCGCAAGAUUAAAACUCAAAGGAAUUGACGGGGACCCGCACAAGCG
rnacentral:rRNA from 1 species